rnacentral:rRNA from 1 species
ACCGGAGAAUGUUAUCACGGGAGACACACGGCGGGUGCUAACGUCCGUCGUGAAGAGGGAAACAACCCAGACCGCCAGCUAAGGUCCCAAAGUCAUGGUUAAGUGGGAAACGAUGUGGGAAGGCCCAGACAGCCAGGAUGUUGGCUUAGAAGCAGCCAUCAUUUAAAGAAAGCGUAAUAGCUCACUGGUCGAGUCGGCCUGCGCGGAAGAUGUAACGGGGCUAAACCAUGCACCGAAGCUGCGGCAGCGACACUAUGUGUUGUUGGGUAGGGGAGCGUUCUGUAAGCCUGUGAAGGUGUGCUGUGAGGCAUGCUGGAGGUAUCAGAAGUGCGAAUGCUGACAUAAGUAACGAUAAAGCGGGUGAAAAGCCCGCUCGCCGGAAGACCAAGGGUUCCUGUCCAACGUUAAUCGGGGCAGGGUGAGUCGACCCCUAAGGCGAGGCCGAAAGGCGUAGUCGAUGGGAAACAGGUUAAUAUUCCUGUACUUGGUGUUACUGCGAAGGGGGGACGGAGAAGGCUAUGUUGGCCGGGCGACGGUUGUCCCGGUUUAAGCGUGUAGGCUGGUUUUCCAGGCAAAUCCGGAAAAUCAAGGCUGAGGCGUGAUGACGAGGCACUACGGUGCUGAAGCAACAAAUGCCCUGCUUCCAGGAAAAGCCUCUAAGCAUCAGGUAACAUCAAAUCGUACCCCAAACCGACACAGGUGGUCAGGUAGAGAAUACCAAGGCGCUUGAGAGAACUCGGGUGAAGGAACUAGGCAAAAUGGUGCCGUAACUUCGGGAGAA